UGUGCUCUGUGUACACACACUGAUUCUCGCCCAAAAGCACUGAGCAUGACACAGGAGUGGGGAACUCUGAGCCCACUGGAAAGUUGAAAGGUGAGGAGGUUAGCUGAAGAGUCUAAGUAACAUUUCCAAGAUACUGGAUGUGAACUCAGAUCCUGCUUCUCCGUGGGAGAGAGCUUCCAUGCUUGGGGAACCAGGACGCCUCCACGUGCCCCUGCGCCAGGCCCCCAGCUCCACGAGGACAGACGCUCCUUUAUUCGGGACCUUGCCCUGUGUGUCUCUUCAUCUGGCUGUUAACUGGCAUCCUUUAUUAAACUGAAAUCUUGGUUGCAAUCUAAUUACAAAACUGAGCUUUGUAACAUUUCAGGCCUGGCAUGGAAUGCAGUUUUUACACACAUAGUAAGUGAAAUAGAAGAUGAAUAUGUGUAAAAAGAACGAUGUGUAAAAACAUGAUACAGUUACUGGUUAGCUGGGGGUAAGCUCUUUAUGAGCUCUGAAAAAUUUGUCUUAAGAUCCAUUUUUUUCUCAAAUGAGGAAACUAAGAUACAAAGAGACCAGGAGACAUGUCUGAGUCAUAUAUGGCAGGCUCCGCUUUCCUGAUCUUUCACACAGGUAACAAACCACACUCCAGCAUGUAACACCCAUGCCAGCAUUGUCAUGGUAUCCAUGGCUGUCACGGUGAUAAGCUUAUUUUUAUGCUGUAAUCAAACUUGCAAAUUAAAUGACUUACUUAUCCUUUUCUAUCCUAGAAGGAAGUGUUCUCUGUUGUCUAUGAGAGCCAGUAUCUAAAACCACUUAAAAAACUUACCACAUCCUGCUUGGUAUUGUAGCUAUUUGUGUUCACUGUCUAUCUCCCUUAUUAGCUAUACAUUCUUCAGAGUCUGAGACCAU